CCUACGGGAGGCAGCAGUGGGGGAUAUUGCACAAUGGGGGAAACCCUGAUGCAGCGACGCCGCGUGGGUGAAGAAGUAUUUAGGUAUGUAAAGCCCUAUCAGCAGGGAAGAAAGAAGACGGUACCUGACUAGGAAGCCCCGGCUAACGACGUGCCAGCAGCCGCGGUAAUACGUAGGGGGCGAGCGUUAUCCGGAUGCACUGGGUGUAAAGGGAGCGUAGACGGCUGUGCAAGCCAGGAGUGAAAUCACGGGGCCUAACCCCGGAACUGCCCUUGGAACUGUGCGGCUAGAGUGCGGGAGGGGCAGGCGGAAUGUCUGGUGUAGCGGUGAAAUGCGUAGAGAUCAGGAGGAACACCGGCGGCGAAGGCGGCCUGCUGGACCGUGACUGACGUUGAGGCUCGAAAGCGUGGGGAGCGAACAGGAUUAGAUACCCGAGUAGUC
rnacentral:rRNA from 1 species